GACCCGCUGUUGGGCGCUAGUUGCCCGGCUCCCCACUUCCGUACUGAGCGCCCCAGCGGCCCGCAGGCGGAGUGGGCGGAGAGGUAGCGGGGGCGGGGGCGGCGCACCAGUCCGCCCCGUGACGCGCCCGGGCUCGGGCGGCGAGUUCCCACCCCCUUCCCCGGCGCAGUCCGCCUGCCCGGAGGCGCCAAACUGUGUGUAGACAGGAGGAGAACGCAGCACCGGGGGACUUCCUGCAGCCCCUUAGGAGGGCGCGCCCCAGGGAGCCGAGGAUAGUCCAGCCGCGAGUGCCAUCCCGCCCCGACGAGGAGAUAGCGCACACCUGGCGGGGCACCUGCGCGGCUCUCCGAGCUCCCAGCUCCUUGCCCGGGACGCCGAGGACGCUGCAGGCGCCCCAGCGAGCCCGGCGGGCAGAAGAGGCUUGGCUGGAGGGCGGGUGCGGGGCGCAGUCCCUCGGGAUCUAGGUAACCCAGUGACGGGGGUCGGAGUGUGCUUACCGGGCGCUUGCUCAUCGCCACCCGACGGAGCGGGACCUGCUGCUCCAGCGACAGGCGCUUUAGGAUCUGGGGGACUCCCCUCGGUCCGCCCCAGCCUCAGUUUACCCAAGCGGCCCCUUCUAGCUAGCAACUGCCCUAACAGGGAGGUCUCGGGCCACUUACAUUCCUUGCAGCCGUCUGUCCCCUGGACCGAGGGGACGAGGUGUGAAACUGCGGAGUGCGUCUCGGGGAUUGGAACCCUGGCCCGACCUCUACGCCCUCGCGGUGAGAUCGAACCUCCCGCACUCUCGCCACGGGAUCGGAUGCGCUCUAGACUCCUCUCUCACCGAGCCAGCUGUUCACCAAACAGCUACCCUUGGAUAUGAAAGAUGAAGUCACCAAUUCUCUUGGCUCUUGUUAUCUAUUCUGUAGUGAGCACAAACCUGAAGUUGGUCUCAAAGAGGAAUUCUGGUAAGUUGCUCAGUAUUUGUCUAGGGGAUGCUGUUUAAGCAGUCUCUCUAAUUACAAGUGUCUAU
rnacentral:lncRNA from 1 species